rnacentral:rRNA from 1 species
GAUGAACGCUGGCGGCGUGCCUAACACAUGCAAGUCGAGCGAACGGUUGGGAAGUUUGCUCGUCUGAUGUUAGAGGCGGACGGGAGAGUCACAUGUGGACAGCAUACCUAUGAGACUGGGAUGCUAUUGGGAAACGGGAGCUUAUAGGGGAUGAUAUUUUGCAACGAAAGGUUCACAAGUGAAAGUCGGUCUUUCGGUCAGUUAUAGCUGGCUACGCGCUGCAUUAGCUAGUUGGUAAGGUAACGGCAUACCCAGGCAACGAUGGAUAGACGACCUGAGAGGGUGAUCGGCCACACUGGAACUGAGACACAGUCCACACUCCGACGCGAGGCAGCAGUAGGGAAUCUUCCGCGAUGGGCGAGAGCCGGACGGAGCAACACCGCGUGAGUGAUGAAGGUCUUCGGAUCGGAAAACUCUGUUAGUAGGAGAGAACAUAUGUGCUAGUACCUGUGCACAUCUUGACGGUACCUAAUCAAGAAGCCACGGCUAACUACGUG